GGGUCGAUGGCGUAGCUGGUUAUCGCAUCUGUCUAACAUCAUCCGAUUACCAUCUUCAUGUUCACAGAAGGUCCUCAGUUCGAACCUGGGUCGACUCA
rnacentral:tRNA from 1 species